rnacentral:rRNA from 1 species
UACGUAGGGGGCGAGCGUUGUCCGGAUUUAUUGGGCGUAAAGAGCGUGUAGGCGGCCAGGUAGGUCUGCUGUGAAAACUCGAGGCUCAACCUCGAGACGUCGGCGGAAACCAUCUGGCUAGAGUCCGGAAGAGGAGAGUGGAAUUCCUGGUGUAGCGGUGAAAUGCGCAGAUAUCAGGAGGAACACCCGUGGCGAAAGCGGCUCUCUGGGACGGUACUGACGCUGAGACGCGAAAAGCGUGGGGAGCGAACAGG